rnacentral:lncRNA from 1 species
CAAGAUAUACUUUUGAUUCGUUGAACGUACUAGCCAACGGCAAAUUGCCAUCUCCUCACCGUCGCCAGUAUCUGACACCAAUAUGACCUAACCAGCAAACCCCAGGUGACGGGCAACAAACCCACAAGGGGAUCAGAAAAUACCAACCCGAAUAUAUAGGAAGGUGGACAACUAACCUCACAGUGCAUACGUUACCGUCGAUGACGACGGUGCUGCAUCCACCAUUACGGGCUCGAGGGAUGAAACAACUAUGGACAACUCAACUCCAUCGAUACAUCCACCAAACUCCUCCACAAUCUCGCCGCCAUGUAGAAGUUUACGAGGCCAGCGUUGCUGUUGACGCCAUGGCCCCCCACGACAGAAGGAAGAACAUGGAGGAAUUGAACACCAACGCAGAGGAAAACAUCAAUGACAUAUCUGUCAGUGUUGAACCCCCACAAAAGACGUCGUCAUCAAGCACCACGCGCACACCAGCCACCGCAAAGACUCGCUCACCUCGGAUGAAGAUGACAGUACAGAAGCUGUGGAAGAACCAAAAGAUUUCCAAUCCUAAUCUACCUAAAACUACCCUAAUAGAAGGGGAUAUGUACACCACCCACUGGAUCUUCGGAUCCCCUGCUCACCAGCGGCACAAAGGCCACCGAAGGCUGGGGAAAUCUGGCGAAUCCAGCGGCGGAACUGCAGUCGCCGCUGAGUCACCCUUUUUUACUGUUU